AGGUCUCCUGAAGGAACGUUGAAGACGACGACGUUGAUAGGUCGGGUGUGUAAGUGUAGCGAUACGUUGAGCUAACCGAUACUAAUGAACCGUGAGGCUUAACCUU
rnacentral:rRNA from 1 species